rnacentral:rRNA from 1 species
GACGAACGCUGGCGGCGUGCUUAACACAUGCAAGUCGAACGGAAAGGCCCUGCUUUUGUGGGGUGCUCGAGUGGCGAACGGGUGAGUAACACGUGAGUAACCUGCCCUUGACUUUGGGAUAACGUCAGGAAACUGGGGCUAAUACCGGAUAGGAGCUCCUGCUGCAUGGUGGGGGUUGGAAAGUUUCGGCGGUUGGGGAUGGACUCGCGGCUUAUCAGCUUGUUGGUGGGGGAGUGGCUUACCAAGGCUUUGACGGGUAGCCGGCCUGAGAGGGUGACCGGCCACAUUGGGACUGCGAGACGGCCCAGACUCCUACGGGAGGCAGCAGUGGGGAAUAUUGCACAAUGGGCGGAAGCCUGAUGCAGCAACGCCGCGUGCGGGAUGACGGCCUUCGGGUUGUAAACCGCUUUCGCCUGUGACGAAGCGUGAGUGACGGUAAUGGGUAAAGAAGCACCGGCUAACUACGUG